GAUGAACGCUGACAGAAUGCUUAACACAUGCAAGUCAACUUGAACUUCGGUUUGGGUGGCGGACGGGUGAGUAACGCGUAAAGAACUUGCCUCACAGUUAGGGACAACAUUUGGAAACGAAUGCUAAUACCUGAUAUUAUGAUUUUAGGGCAUCCUAGAAUUAUGAAAGCUAUAUGCGCUGUGAGAGAGCUUUGCGUCCCAUUAGCUAGUUGGAGAGGUAACGGCUCACCAAGGCGAUGAUGGGUAGCCGGCCUGAGAGGGUGAACGGCCACAAGGGGACUGAGACACGGCCCUUACUCCUACGGGAGGCAGCAGUGGGGAAUAUUGGACAAUGGACCAAGAAUCUGAUCCAGCAAUUCUGUGUGCACGAUGAAGUUUUUCGGAAUGUAAAGUGCUUUCAGUUGGGAAGAAAAAAAUGACGAUACCAACAGAAGAAGUGACGGCUAAAUACGUG
rnacentral:rRNA from 1 species